GAUGAAGAACGUAGCGAAAUGCGAUAAGUAAUGUGAAUUGCAGAAUUCAGUGAAUCAUCGAAUCUUUGAACGCACAUUGCGCCCGCCAGCAUUCUGGCGGGCAUGCCUGUUCGAGCGUCAUUUCAACCCUCGCAGCCCAUCUGGGCAGCGGUGUUGGGGACCGGCACCACCGGCGAAGCCCUUAGGGGCCCAGCCGGCGCCGCCCCCGAAAUACAGUGGCGGUCUCGCUGCAGCCUCCCUUGCGUAGUAGCACACCUCGCACCGGAGCGCAGCGCGGCCACGCCGUAAAACCCCCGACUUUCUGAGUUUGACCUCGAAUCAGGUAGGAAUACCCUCUGAACUUAAGCAUAUCAAUAAGCGGAGGA
rnacentral:misc_RNA from 1 species